UAAAAAAAACAGGGAUUUUGAUGAAAACUAGCCACUGUUUAGCUUGGAAUUUCUCAAGAACAGAGGCAUGAAGAAAUAAACGGUUUGAAGCCACUGAGAGGGUUAAAGUCUCACAGUU